CUCUUCUUUCAUUCAAUCGAAACGCUUUUCAGUUUAAAAAAAUAGAAACGCUUCCCCUUUCACCUUACCUUCUUCUUCUUCUCCUUCUCUGAGCCGUUUCUCUAGCGUUUCAAAAUCAUUUAAAACCUUCCUCUGAGAAUUUCAUGUAUCUGCCCAUCUCUGCUUCAGUGAAGAAUUCGCAUUCUUUUGUAGGAUGUUUUAGGAUUUUGCAGCGAAUGACCUACCAAGGAGAUAUACUUGAUGUUAUUGCUUGCACUUGCCUGAUUCGUAACUUUUGCAGGACUGGGAGGACGAAGAAGGCGGCGCGAGUCAUGGAGAUUCUGGAGGGUCCGAAAUUGACAGAUUUGGGAGAGAGGCUUUCUGCAAUUUUUCAGGCUCCAUGAAACCCCAAUGUGUCGGAGAUGCAUCAGGACUUCAGAACUGUUCUACCACCUCUUCAUUUCUAAAGGCGCCGCUGUUCCAUUCACAUCUUCCGGUUUCCCUUCUGUGGGUUCAAAUCAAGUUCCAGCGGUUGGUGUAAGCCUGGGAAUAGAGAGAGUAUUUGCUAUAAUGGAGCAGCAUUGGAAGGACGUGUCUCUUCCUGCGCCUCUUUGUGAGAUUUCUAGGUUUUUCAAUUUUCACCAAGAUGGCCAUGUAAUCGAAUUCCACAUUGCGGCGUCUUUUCUCAAAUUCCGGAGACUACAUGCUUUAAUCGCUAGAGUUUUUGUUCACAAGAUGAAUCCCAGAAUUAUAUCAAAUUGGUCUUAGGUAUGUGAAAUUGCAUUGCAUCUGAUUCUUUGAUGAAAUUCCGUCUACUCUGGCAGUGGUCAGGUUGAAUACAUUGUUUUUUUUUUGUAACUUUGGUGUCUGUGCUAAAACAUCAAUCUCUCAAUUUCUCUUAUUUCAAUUUUAGUUCCCUUCAAACUCCCUAAUUUCAUUCCCUAAUACCUCUUUGUGUUCAUUUCAGAUUUGGAUCAUUUACAUCUUGAAUCACAUAAUUCAAUCUCUCUUUGGAUUUGGCUCUCUCUCCUGUUUCACUUCCUUCGACCUCUCUAUAUGCGCUAAUUUUAGUACUUUUGUGUGUAAUUGGUUCGAAUAGGUAUCAGAGCCUCUGAAUUCAAGUUCUCUCUAGCUGCUAGAAAUAGCUGAUGUGAGGAUGCAGAGUCCUGGCUGCAAGACGACGUUCAUGUUCGACCACUGAGCCUCCUAUGACAUCAUUGAGAAUAGGACAGCCCAGAGGUUAGGUCGCAACCCAAUUCAUAACCUUCAUUCUAGGUUGUAAGGGCAAAGAAGGAGGACACGAGAACUGUAUAUGCAUUGAAAAUCAUGGACAAAAAUAUUAUUACCAAAGAGAACAAAAGAGCUUAUGUGAAGUUGGAACAUGUAGUGAAGUUGGAAUGUAUGUACAUCUACUGAACGUAAUAUGUACACAUUGGAGGAGGAUUUUUUAUCAUGCACCAACGGAAAACCAUAGAGGAACCUAAGGAUUGUAAUGAGGUAUGCACAAGAUUUUUUUUUAAAUCUCUCCUUCAGUCAUUAAGUUUUUAUUGUGAAUAUUUCUUCAACCUUUCCUUAUCAUUUUGCUGCUGGGUGGAAUGGUGGAGGUUUGAGCAAUUGGGUUGGUCCCUCUGUUGGAAUCUAUACCUCUGUUAAAUGGGGUUUUGUGGAAGGGUUCCCGAUUGAUUUUUGAGCUUUUUUAACUUGAAGAUCUUGAAGAAUAACAGUGGAGGACUUACUAGGAUUUCUAUUAUAUUCUUUGGGCCACAAUCAGUUUUCUGCUGCUAAGAGGGUGAAGACAAUGAACUUGCAGAUAAAUUAUUCUUGGAUGUUGCAUUAGAAUAAGUGAAUUUCAUUUCUUCUAAGGGAAAAUUAGAUAGGAUCAUGGAAGUGUUGCUGGCAGUACCAGCUCAAAGACCCUAAAGA